rnacentral:lncRNA from 1 species
GAUCUGUUUGAGUUAACAGUUAUAAGUUUUAUAAAUUUUCAAACUCGAAUCUUAAGUGGUAAACCAAUGAUAAAUAGGUAUGAAUGUCUUGAUACAAAUGUUUCCGUGGUUUCAGAAGACUUGGAUGGCCAGGUCGAAGUGAAACGGGCUGGUAGGACUUCGUUUGUAAUGGGCUACGGAGGUUGAAACCCCUAUCGUGCUUACGCACAGUCUAUAACCCUUUGAAGUCCAAUUUUGGUCCCAGGCGCUUACUCAGACCUAGCCACCAUCCAAAAUGUCCCUUACUCAGUUAGGAAACACUUGAAUGUUUAACAAUCGUACAAGAGUUAAUAAGAUCCGCCCUCAACUCCAAAAGACCCUUGAAAAGGUACUAAUGAAGGGUUUAGGAUCCUAUUAACUAAAGUAACCUUCAAUGGUUUACAAAACAAGAUAAGUACCUGAAAAUAAAUAAAACAAACAACAAUUAGUCAGAUUUACAAUAGUAUAAAUAUUUAAACAAAUAAGUAACCAAAAACCGUUAGAGACUUAUUAGGUCCCCGGCAACGGCGUCAAAAAUUGACGUGCCCGAAACCGGGCGCGUAAUUUAAAAACCCUUUUGUUAUCAGUAUGUAGUAUUGGCAAAUAGGGUUCGAUCAAUCCGGGGACUUAAAGGGUGCUCCUGCAGUCAUGGUUAAUGAAUCAGUAACUAUAUGUAUUUACAAGUAUUCAGUUAGAAAUAUACAAAUGGUACAAUAGAUAAAAGGGGGGGAUUUUAGGAUUUGUUCUACGUUCCUACUAAAACAGAAAAUAAAAAUAUUAUAUACAAGUGAUCGACUUCAAACUCACACAAACAUAUAAAAUCAUGUAAACAGGUUGUUUCAAGCUAUACAACUUAAAAAUCAUGCCAAUCAAGUAUUAUGAAACGAAUCCAGAAUUACACGCCUCAGCGGUCAUGCAACCUAUAAUAUCUUCUUAAGUAUCCUAUGUUUGCCUCAGCGGUUUAACACAGCAAUUCCAUGCAAUAUGUCAUGUUAUUACUCAGCGCAACCAUACAACAUAUAACAUGAAUCAUUAAGAACAAAGAAGAAUUCGAA